GGGGAAUAUUGGACAAUGGGCGCAAGCCUGAUCCAGCCAUACCGCGUGGGUGAAGAAGGCCUUCGGGUUGUAAAGCCCUUUUGUUGGGAAAGAAAUCUUGCCGGUUAAUACCUGGCGAGGAUGACGGUACCCAAAGAAUAAGCACCGGCUAACUUCGUGCCAGCAGCCGCGGUAAUACGAAGGGUGCAAGCGUUACUCGGAAUUACUGGGCGUAAAGCGUGCGUAGGUGGUGGUUUAAGUCUGCUGUGAAAGCCCUGGGCUCAACCUGGGAAUUGCAGUGGAUACUGGGUCACUAGAGUGUGGUAGAGGGAUGCGGAAUUUCCGGUGUAGCAGUGAAAUGCGUAGAGAUCGGAAGGAACAUCCGUGGCGAAGGCGGCAUCCUGGGCCAACACUGACACUGAGGCACGAAAGCGUGGGGAGCAAACA
rnacentral:rRNA from 1 species